CUGUCACCAUACUCCGAGGAGAUGGGGCCUCGGGGGGUGGCGGGGGGCGGGG
rnacentral:miRNA from 1 species